GAUGAACGCUGGCGGCGUGCUUAACACAUGCAAGUCGAACGAAGCACUUUAUUUGAUUUCCUUCGGGACUGAUCAUUUUGUGACUGAGUGGCGGACGGGUGAGUAACGCGUGGGUAACCUGCCUUGUACAGGGGGAUAACAGUUGGAAACGGCUGCUAAUACCGCACAAGCGCACAGAAUCGCAUGAUGCAGUGUGAAAAACUCCGGUGGUAUAAGAGGGACCCGCGUUGGAUUAGCUAGUAGGUGCGGUAACGGCCCACCAAGGCGACGAUCCAUAGCCGACCUGAGAGGCUGACCGGCCACACUUGCACUGGGACACAGCCCGGACUCCUACGGGAUGCAGCAAUGGGGAAUGUUGCACAAUGGGCGGAAGCCUGAUGCAGCGACGCCGCGUGAGCGCAGAAGUUUUUCAGUAAGUAAAGCUCUAUUAGCAGGGAAGAUAAUGACGGUACCUAACUAGGAAGCCCCGGCUAACUACGUG
rnacentral:rRNA from 1 species